ensembl:lncRNA
UGUGUGUGUGUGUGCUGGUGUGAUGUGUUUAUAAAAUGAAGGAUUGCAGACAGUCGUCUCAAUCGGCAUUGGCUUGACCUGCAGUUAGAGGUCAAAGGUCAGGAUUGAGUGGUCAGGCUGGGACUCCUGGGGCGGGGGGGUCAGUUAGUGUUAGAUGCCAGGAUGCCAUGAAUAACACACACACACACAUUAUAUAUACAUUAUACACACACACACACACACAUUAUAUAUACAUUAUACACACACACACACACACAUUAUAUAUACAUUAUACACACACACACACACACACACAUUAUAUAUACAUUAUACACACACACACACACACACACAUUAUAUAUACAUUAUACACACUCACACACACACACAUUAUAUAUACAUUAUACACACACACACACACACACACACACACACUAUAUAUACAUUAUACACACACACACACACAUUACAUAUACAUUAUACACACACACACACACACACAUUAUAUAUACAUUAUACACACACACACACACUCACGUAUAGUUCAUGGAGACCUGUACUAACACACACACACAUAUGCAUGCAAACACACACACAGAUGCAGACCUGCACUCACAUGCACAUAUUUACUCACCAGACACACACGCACACCAUACACACGCCUUUGGUGUCCUUGAAGCCAAAUUGUCCAAUCAGGGAAGCGCUACAGCGAGAGCAUCAGCAUCAGUGUUAUGUUGUUAAUGAUGCUGUUUGUUUGUUUGUUUGUUUGUUCGUUUGGUGUGUGACACCCAAUUUUAACUCAACACCUCAGCCUUAUGCAAGACCACAGUGCUGUAAGUACCAUGCAGUCUAGUUCAUCUUCACUGAACACGCACGUGUGUGUGUGUGUGUGUGUGUGUGCUUGUUCAUUUGUGUGUGUCUGCUAUGUGUUUGUUACAUGUUGAGCAGAACAGAACAGCUGAGUCUGCGCUGACGGCUGCGCUAGCAUCUAGCAUCUAGGGUUAGCAUCUAGCAUCUAGCAUCUAGGGUUAGCAUCUAGCAUCUAGGGUUAGCAUCUAGCAUCUAGGGUUAGCUUCUAGCAUCUAGUGUUAGCAUCUAGCAUCUAGGGUUAGCAUCUAGCAUCUAGGGUUAGCAUCUAGCAUCUAGGGUUAGCAUCUAGCAUCUAGGGUUAGCAUCUACAUCUAGUGUUAGCAUCUAGCAUCUAGGGUUAGCAUCUAGUGUUAGCAUCUAGCAUCUAGGGUUAGCAUCUAGCAUCUAGGGUUAGCAUCCAUCUCAUCACCCAGAUACCCAGUACACCAACUACAACUGAUCCAGAUUAGAGCCGAAUAGAACUGAUCCAGAUUAUGGUUUGAUAGAACUGAUCCAGAUUGGAGUCACAUGGAAUAGGUCUGAGUUUACACACACACACACACACACAGACACACACUCCCUCUGCUCCCUCUGUCAGAAACGUGUGUGCUUUUAACAGCCAAUCAGAAACGUGUGUGCUUUUAACAGCCAAUCAGAAACGUGUGUGCUUUUAACUGUCUGUGCUCAGCCUUGACAUGAACACAUGAACAAAGAAGCGGUCACGUGUGUGUGUGUGUGUGUGUGUGUGUGUGUGUGUGUGUUUGUGUGACGAAGAACAACGUUUGGAGUGUUUUCUGUGAGCGACGUGUAAACCACGUGUCGUUACAGCGCACGGCCGUCUGGACCAGCACCUGUGGAGAGAUUCGGUUCUCCUUCUGAAAUCUGUUCAGAAAAAGAAAAUGUAUUAUUGUAUCAUUUUAUCAUUUUUAAUCCAGCAGUGUUAAAUAUGAUUUCUUAUGGUUGUUUGAUUUCCUGUCCAUGCAAGUAAAAUGUGUGUAUUGUGGGCACUGGUAGGUGGGCGAGGAACAGGCCCAUCCCAGCCCGUUCUUGUGUUGUGUGUCUCUCUACCAGAUAGCAGUAUUACUGAAGCCAACUUAACUGACAUUACACACUUGUUUUAGAAGGAACAGUUAAGCUUGUUUUAUAUAUAUGUGUAUGUAAACAUAUUUAUGUGUCUUAUUUUUAUAUUUCCUCAUAGUUAUUUAUUCUACUCCUAGUUUACAGUGUUGUUGCCGUUUUGUAUUACUUCAGUCACUGUGUUAAGAGAGCCGCCGCGGUGGUCCGGCCGGACGGAGUGGUUCUGGAUUGGUUGGAACAGUCCCACACUCCCGACACAGGAUGACGGGGCUGUUCCACCGAGCAGGGUUACUCCAUUACCCACAUACCUGCGCUCAGCAAAACCAGAAACACAGCGCCACGUAUGCUAGGCUACAGAAACAGCGCCUCUCAUGCUAGGCUAGGCUAGAGAAACAGCGCCUCGUAUGCUAGGCUACAGAAACAGCACCUUGUGUGCUAGGCUAGGCUAGAGAAACAGCACCUUGUGUGCUAGGCUAGGCUAGGCUGGAGAAGCAGCACCUUGUGUGCUAGGCUAGAGAAGCAGCACCUUGUAUGCUAGGCUACAGAAACAGCGCCUCGUAUGCUAGGCUAGGCUAGGCUGGAGAAGCAGCACCUUGGAUGUUAGGCUAGGCUAGGCUAGGCUUGUUUAGGUGUUAGCUGGCGCAGAUAUCUGGCUAACUCAUGCGUCAGGCUAGGCUGGAUGUGGGGAGUGUUUCUAGGUGUUAGCCGGCGCAGAUAACUCUGCUCUAGUGCGCAAGCGGGCGAGGAGACAGAUAGACACAUGACUCCGCCCCCUCACAAAGCUGCAGCAGCAGACUGGCCCAGAUCCAGCGGAACCAGAAUGGUUGGGGUUCCUGCUGAGGUCCAGAUCCAGCAGAACCAGAUCGGUUGGGGUUCCUGCUGAGGCCCCGGGUGUGACCCCCCCCCCCCCACACGCUUAACGCAGCGGCGUCCCGUCUGCCUACGUGUUCCUCAAACUCACCCGUCAUAAUGCAUGCAUAGCUCACCUACCCCCCUUGUGAAGCAUUAUAACACAUUAUCACCCAUGUGCAUGAGAAAAGGACCCUACAUGUUUAUUGAGCACUGUGUUUGACAUAGGAAAGUUACUGUGUGGAACCAAGUGGAACCAAGCCAGUUUGCCUGGGGCGCUGAGGAGGAGGAGGAGGAGGAGGAGGAGGAGGACCGCGUCAGUGUUCAUCAUGUCUGCACACGUAGAGUUCAUGCUGUCUUAGUGUUGAGGAUUGCAGGGAUGGAUUUGACUCUUAGUGUAAAGAUUUGACUCUUAGUGUGAAGAUAUGACUGUCAGUGUUGAGGAUUGCAGGGAUGGAUUUGGCUCUAGUGUGAAUAUAUGACUCUUAGUGUAAAGAUAUGACUCUUAGUGUGAAGAUAUGAAUGUCAGUGUUGGGGAUUGCAGGUAUGGAUUUGUCUAAGGUCUAGUGUGAAGGUAUGAUUGUUGUUGCGCUUGUGUGGAACUUGUCUGGAGUUCUCGUGGUUCCCUGUGUCAAGAUCUUGUCCUCCACACACACGUCUCAUUUUCUGUGCCAAAGUAAUAUUUGUGUGUGUGUGUGUGUUUGUCCGAUGCUUCAAAUUGGUUUUAGAUAAAAAAAAAAAAAACCUGUUCAAAUGCAUUGCCAUUCUCAGUUGUUUUGUUAGUUUUUUUUUUUAAAUCCCCAUGGAAACCGAAAUUAAAGGAGAAUGAUGCACA